rnacentral:rRNA from 1 species
UACGGAGGGGGCUAGCGUUGUUCGGAAUUACUGGGCGUAAAGCGCGCGUAGGCGGACCUGCAAGUCGGGGGUGAAAGCCCGAGGCUCAACCUCGGAUCUGCCUCCGAUACUGCGGGUCUCGAGUCCGGGAGAGGUGAGUGGAAUUCCUAGUGUAGAGGUGAAAUUCGUAGAUAUUAGGAAGAACACCAGUGGCGAAGGCUGCUCACUGGCCCGGUACUGACGCUGAGGCGCGAAAGCGUGGGGAGCAAACAGG